CCACAUCUGCCUGCUGGACACCAUGCUUCCCGCCAUGAUGAUAACUGAACCGCUGAAACUAGCAUGUGGGCUCAUGUAUCACUCAGUCUGUUUGGAAGUCCACACUGUGCCUUCCCCAGCCAUGGAGCCCUGGGAAAUACCUUGUUCACACUCCAGAGUCUUGGCCUCUUCAUGUCUACAGUGAGAACGGUGGUACUUACCUGACAAAGUGGGAAGAUGGAACCAUGGCUGUUCAGUGGCUGCCACAGAACAAGGCGCUGAUCUGUGUGGGUGGUGAUUGCUGCUGCUGCUGGACAGACGUUAAUGAAAAGGGUAAGGACAGACAUAAACUCACAUCCAUCGAAUGUGGUUCUUGGACUUCUUUUCCACCAGCUCGAUGCCAUCCAAAACGUUGGUGAUGUCAUACACGCGCCGUUUCCGAACUCCCAGUUUUGUGGCAACCUUGUUUAGAUCGAGAAUGCCCCCAGGGGCAGAUCUGACAAGAUCCAUAAACUUUCGAGUUAAGUACACCAGCGACACAUCAAAACGGGGCCUCUUCACUUUCAAAGCUUCUGCAAAGGAGAGCACAGUGCCACAUGAGCCGACAUUUCUUGGACAGCCGCUUAUUCCCUAAGGAUCGGAGCAGACAGCCAUGGAAACCCCUGCUGGUUUCUAUGGAAACAUUUCUCUAACUGGAUGAAAGGCAAAUGGUCAGCUGGUCUGAGCAAAGGCAUCAGGUUUCAAUAAAGGCUGGUGAGUUUCCACUAAUAACCAUUUUUUACAAGUCCACAUCCCUCCAAGAAAUUUCUGUAACCAUCGCUGAACUACUUCUCAGAAAGAGGAUUAGAAAUGAUUUUGAAAUCAGAUGCCUUCAUUUCACACAUAAUCUGCCAACACACAUCUGGACGUCAAUAUCUAGUUUUUGUUCAUUCUUCUUUGGUGUGUUAAGGAAUGAGCCUGGCUUCACAGAGGCCAGGCAAGCACCUUACCACUGAGCAACAUCCUUCACUCAGAUGUAUAGUUUUUUCUGUUAAUUUUAAAAAAUAUUUACUUAUUAAAAAUAUCUACUAUAUCUUA